rnacentral:rRNA from 1 species
UACGAAGGGGGCUAGCGUUGUUCGGAUUUACUGGGCGUAAAGCGCACGUAGGCGGAUCGUCGCGUCGACCGUGAAACCCGCGGCUUAACCGCGGGCUUGCGGUUGAUACGGGCGGGCUAGAGUUCGGGUAGGGGAGACUGGAAUUCCUGGUGUAGCGGUAGAAAUGCGUAGAGAUCGGGAGGAACAUCAGUGGCGAAGGCGGCCAUCUGGGACAACACUGACGCUGAAGCACGAAAGCGUGGGGAGCAAACAGG